rnacentral:rRNA from 1 species
AUGUGUGGAGCUCAACUGAUUUCAGGUUGGAGAGAAUCGUUAACAUUGGCGGUGGAAUGUGGAGUGGCAGUGACCAUUUGGGACGUGUUCACAGUCUUGUGUGUUGUUUGGUGGGUUCACGAAGGUCGAUUCGUGGCUGGAAGGAGGAGCUAUGUAGUAGUGGAUCGUGCCAGAGCUACAAUAGUGGCCGUCAACACAACCUCAUUGGACGAGAGCAAGCUUACUGUAAAAUUCUGCACCAAGAGCCAAUGUACCCGCGGGAAGGACCCGGAUUUGGAAACCUGUUUUAGCUGCCGGAAUCUAAAGGGUCAACCAUGCUUCUUUUCGGAAGACGAGUGCAAGAGCAAGUGUCCUCCGUGUGACCCUGUGUGCCCCCCUCCACCGGCCAACACCGAUGAACAAAUGCAGCGUGUAGAAAUGGAAACUUAA